rnacentral:rRNA from 1 species
AACGUAGGUGGCAAGCGUUAUCCGGAUUUACUGGGCGUAAAGCGUGUGCAGGCGGAUGGACAAGUGAGCUAUGAAAUCCCGGUGCUUAACAGCGGGAUGGUAGCUUAGACUGCCCAACUGGAGGCUGAGAGAGGGAUGUGGAAUUCCGGGUGGUAGUGGUGAAAUGCGUAGAGAUCCGGAGGAACACCAGAGGCGAAAGCGGCAUCCUGGCUCAGCACUGACGCUCAGACACGACAGCAUGGGGAGCGAACGGG